CGUCGCCUACCGGGUUGUGAGGGCCGUGUCUCCACAUGCCGGGUUAGCGGGCCCUGGAGAGCCGGACCUCCUACUCUGGAGUCCCGUGCGCAGAGACGCGUGACCUGGUGCCGGGCCGCCCCCAUGGCGUGCACCUCCACCCGAGUACACCUGCUGCAGAAUGCAAACUCCUCCGUGCUGUGUCCAGUGACACGCCUGAAUGAGGGCCAUUGCCCUGUCUAGCUGGGCCAACACCUCCCCCAAGGCUUAGCUGAGGGCUCCUAGAUGCUGAUGACACCUAUGCCAGCCAUCUGGACACUGCACCACCACUGCAAAAUAGCACUGCCGCCCGGGCCCAAUGCCGGUCAUGCCCAUCCCGCGGCGGGUGCGCUCCUUCCACGGCCCGCACACCACCUGCCUACACGCAGCCUGCGGACCAGUGAGAACCUCUCACCUGGCCCGCACCAAGUACAACAACUUCGACGUGUAUGUCAAGACCCGCUGGCUCUACGGCUUUAUCCGCUUUCUGCUCUACUUCAGCUGCAGCCUCUUCACAGCGGCCCUCUGGGGCGCGCUGGCCGCGCUCUUCUGCCUGCAGUACCUGGGCGUGCGUGUGCUGCUGCGCUUCCAGCUCAAACUGUCAGUGCUGCUGCUGCUGCUGGGGCGCAGGCGCGUGGACUUCCGCUUCAUGAACGAGCUGCUCAUCUACGGGAUCCACGUGACUAUGCUGCUGGUC
rnacentral:lncRNA from 1 species